rnacentral:rRNA from 1 species
GCCCAGACUCCUACGGGAGGCAGCAGUGGGGAAUAUUGCACAAUGGGGGAAACCCUGAUGCAGCGACGCCGCGUGAGCGAUGAAGUAUUUCGGUAUGUAAAGCUCUAUCAGCAGGGAAGAAAAUGACGGUACCUGACUAAGAAGCCCCGGCUAACUACGUGCCAGCAGCCGCGGUAAUACGUAGGGGGCAAGCGUUAUCCGGAUUUACUGGGUGUAAAGGGAGCGUAGACGGCGAUGCAAGCCAGAUGUGAAAGCCCGGGGCUCAACCCCGGGACUGCAUUUGGAACUGUGUGGCUGGAGUGUCGGAGAGGCAGGCGGAAUUCCUAGUGUAGCGGUGAAAUGCGUAGAUAUUAGGAGGAACACCAGUGGCGAAGGCGGCCUGCUGGACGAUGACUGACGUUGAGGCUCGAAAGCGUGGGGAGCAAACAGGAUUAGAUACCCGUGUA